ACGUAAAGAAAUAAACACAAACUUUUAAAGUUGAUAAUAAUGUAAAAUUUAAUGCUUUUAACAAGUGUAAAGUUUCCAAAAGUAUAUAAAAAAAAAUCUGAUUUUAGUUUACAAUUGUUGUGUAAUUUUCAAAUGAUUUAAAUAACUUCAAAAUGCGAAUUUCAAACACUAUCCUAAAAGUUUUUCUUGGUUGCUGUUCCUCCGCUUUUCUUAUGGAAAUAUUAAUGUCAAAAUGUCCAGAGAGUGCCAACUUGAUAACUUUCCUCCAGUUUUUCUUUAUUUCUUUACAGGGUUUUGUAUUUACCCUUAAAUUCGGGAUGAUAAAGCCCAAAAUACCUCUGAAGCAUUACGCAAUUCUGAUAGCUUUGUUUUUCGUAACAAGUGUUGCAAAUAAUUAUGUUUAUGCCUUGCAUGUGCCUUCAACACUGCAUAUGAUUAUACGAUCAGCGUCUUCCCCUGCAAGUAUGCUUGUUUACUGCAUCGUCAAAAAACAAUCUCCCAGAGUGUCAAAUGCAAUUGGUUCCGUCCUUAUAAGUGUGGGAGUUGUUUUAGCAACGUACGGAGGAGCUCCGGAUGACAGGAAUGAUGGGAUAUUCCUAUACUGGUGCAUAGGAGUUGCCAUACUUGUUACUACGCUAAUAACCGGUGCAUUUACUGGGCUCCAACAAGAGAUACUGUAUGCGAAAUACGGAAAACAUCCCAGUGAGAUGAUGUUCUUCACGCAUGCAAUCCCUCUGCCAUUUUUUCUGGCAAUUUCCUCUGAACUAGUUCAUACUGGAUGGAGUCUCUCAUGGGAUAUUUGGUUACUUAUUGCCUUAAACAUUAUAUCCCAGUUUUACUGCACACAUUCAGUGCACAAACUGGCCACAAAAGAAACCUCUGUAACAGUUACAUUUAUACUAACUUUAAGAAAAUUUGUAUCACUUUUAAUCUCAUCUGUUGUUUUUAAAAAUAAUCUCACUAGUUUACAUAUCUUAGGCACAAUUUGUGUGACUAUUGGUACAUUAAUUUAUUUUAAUUUCUUUGAGAAUCUUAAACAGAGACCUGUGACUUUAGUGAAUAAUAAUAAUAAGAAAAGCAAUUAAUAUCUAUCCCUCCAUUUUUGUAUUAUUUUUAAGGUGAUCUAAUUGGUGAAUAGUGAUUAAUUUUUUUAAGUUAAUAUUUUUAUUAGUCUUAAUCUUAAAUAAUAAAACUGUGAAUUUCGAAAAAUAUUACUUGGUUAGCUAAAGGGUUUCCUACUUAUUGUGACUGUUAUAUUUUACAUUGUUAAACAUAAUAAAAAUAUAUUUUUUAAGCAAUUU